rnacentral:rRNA from 1 species
AUUGAACGCUGGCGGCAGGCCUAACACAUGCAAGUCGAACGCGUGGCGGACGGGUGAGUAAUGUCUGGGACACUGCCUGAUGGCGGGGGAUAACUACUGGAAACGGUAGCUAAUACCGCAUACCAUCAGAUGUGCCCAGAUGUGAUUAGUUCGUUGGUGGGGUCACGGCUCACCAAGGCGACGAUCCCUAGCUGGUCUGAGAGGAUGACCAGCCACACUGGAACGGAAACACGGUCCAGACUUCUACGGGACGCAGCAGUGGAGAAUAUUGCACAAUGGGCGCAAGCCUGAUGCAGCCAUGCCGCAUGUAUGAAGAAGGCCUUCGGGUUUUAAAGUACUUUCAGCGGUGAGGCGUUACCCGCAGAAGAAGCACCGGAUAACUCCGUGCCAGCAGCCGCGGUAAUAC